GUAGAUAUAGUUUAAGUAAAACAUUAGAUUGUGAUUCUAAAAAUAAGGGUUGAACUCCCAUUAUCCACC
rnacentral:tRNA from 1 species